rnacentral:lncRNA from 1 species
CGGGACAGCUCAGAGGCUGAACAGAAAGAGGCAGCUGAGCUAAGAGGGCUUUCAACUUUCCUGCCCUCCCUGGGCUUCCCGACUGACCGAAGGGCCUUGGACGUGUCAGUCGCCCGUGCGGCAGAGCUUGCAGCCUGUCCUUCGGAGCUGUCUCCCUGCCUUCCCUGUCCUCCCCUUCCGUCUCCAGCCUCUCCACAUGGUUUACUGAGCUGCUGGGUUCUGCUAUGGUUUACAGUGUUUCCACCUUUGGUGUUGUUCUGAAAGCAGCAACAGGUGAAAGUUUUGCGGCAAAAACACAGUGUUAUUUCCUCUGACAGUGAGGGGGAAUUUGUGAACCACUUGUGUCCCUCAAAUCUUCCGUGUCCUAAGGCAUCCCAGAGCCCAGGAGUUUGAGGAAUUUCAGGAAAAUGGAAGCUUGGAAGUGUGGAGGCCAGUGGCUCACUCAGAGUGCGUCCUGCCUCCUGCUCUCAGGCCACAGGAAUUUCACAGCCAGCACAUGGGUGGCAGCCGGUGCCGCACGACGGCAAGCAAAAGUGAGUUGUGAUUUUUCUCUUUUCCCUUAAAACUUUCCUUCAACUGCUCUUCCCCGUUUAGGAAUCUCAAGUUUCGUCCCUUCCUUGUAGGGAACACAGCAAGGAAUUGCGCCUCGUUUUCUGGAAUCCAGGCUGGACAGCAGCCAUCUCUCCCCUGAGUCCCCCUGAGGAGUCGUGGAGAGCAGCUCCAAGCAGGUUUCCGGUGGUGCGUCUCAAACCCAUGGACAGGAAGCUGAGGUCAUCAGUUGCUUUCUCAUUGCUGUCCGGGAUGCAGAUGCCUCCGCCAGCACCCCCACCCCCAGGGCAGCAGCCGGGCAAGGGUUUCCCUCGAUGGCAGAAGCCGCUCUGCAGGGCUGGCCGAGGGCCGGGUCUCUCGAUGUCACCACCUUCCACAUUCACAGCAGGCUGUUGCCAUCAAGCAAGGAAGUGGAGGACACCAUGUGGCUGCAGGCCACCUACCGCCUCUGCCUCCCGACUGGAUGGAGUUGCCUUUCCUGUAGCCAUCGCCGGUAGACUCCAGAGCCCUGUGGUGUUGGCACUGCCUCCUAUCUAGGGAGCAUCCCAGACCCAGCCUGGGGCUCUGACUCAGCUCUGACUCAGGCCCAGGCCUCAUGACUCCAGACUCCUUCUGCUGCUUCCUGCAUGGCUGGUCUGGAUGCACGUUCAGUGUGUGUGGAAAAUGCGGUGAUGGCCACUUGAACACACCGAGGUCAGCAGCCUGCAGGGCCCCCUGGGGACCCUACAGUCCGGUACUGGGCUUUGGUCCUAACUCUCCUCAGCCACCGGAGGGCACCCCGAAGAUCCACUUAGGAAUCGGCUUUUGCCAUUCACCACUGAGCAUCUCAAGGAAGAGAAUUUGAGGGUCAGGUUCUUCAGUACUUCUCCUUUCUGGGCAGCUGCAGACAGCAAUGGAGAACAAAAGUAGAAUCCAGUCUUGGUGCGUAUAAAAGCUUCUUUUCAGGUGUCUCAGAGGAGCAUCUCCUUAGUAGGAGAGAGAACGCUGACCUAAGGAGCUGGCGUGGUGCUUUGGCUGCAACAGUGCACCGUGACUGAGGGAAGCCCAUCAAACCCUAAGGAGAUUUGGCUCACCUUUUGCAUUUCAACUGACCAAAUCAGUCCUUUGAGGGAGAGGGGAUGGAAACGGGUUUUUGAAUUACAUUAGCUACCUCUAGCAUUUGCUCCUCAGAAUUACCUGGUGACAGCGCAGUGCCACAGCGUGCAUCAGGAUGUCCAGAGAGGCCUGGCACCCAGCGUGCCACUGCUCAGGGUGGCAGAGCCUUUAGGAGUCACAGGGCAGGAGCCCUCAGAGGGCUGUGGGUCCGGUCCUCCCUCUCACUGGGCCUCCUGGCCCCAGCACCCUGACUGCUUGGCUGGGAGACACUGGUUUGUGCCCCUGUGAUGUGUACAUCACAUGACCAAAUGCACCAGAGCUGGGCCACACAUGGGAUUUGUGAACAGAUCAGAUGGCAUUGGAAGCUCCCAGAAACAGCAAACCUCCAAGUACUUUGCAAAGGGCUCACGCUAUGCAAUCAGUCCGAGGCUGGUGGAACAGCGCAGCGCUGCAGUCCUGUGGUAAGGUCCCGAAACUCCAGAAGCUGCAUUUUUGCUACUGGUUUCCAUCCCCAAAUGGCAGGCAGUUAAGACGGGGUACCUGCUACUUUCUGACUAGAAAUAUCCUGUCUAUGUACACUGAUGAGGCUGUGUCUAAGUAUAACUUUUUAUUGUAUGAAAAAUAUAUAUAUGACAUAAAUGUUACUAUUUGGGCCAUUUUAAGUGUGCAAUGUGUGGAUACUACGUAAGGAUGUUUGCGGUGUGUGUAACCACCACUGUUAUCUGUGUGGGGGACGUUUCCACCACCCCCGCAGAUGCUCUGUACCUGUGAGUAUUGCAGAUAGGUAAGUUCAUUAGAUCUCUGGUAGGCCGUUAGACAGGGCCAGCCCACGAAGAGCCAACAUGGAGGACAGUGAUGACACACUCACUGAAGGCCAGCAUUGUAAAAGGAGAGAAACUACACACCCUUGUGCUUCCCCUAAGGAUGGAUAGCAGUGAUUGAUCUUCUAAAUAGGUAUCAAUCCCCUAGAUGGGUGGCCAAGAUAUUCCAAGAAAGAUCCCUGAGAAUCCUUGCUCAUUCCUUGUACGCUUUCACGUGACUUGCGUCCCCACUGG